AUGGCGGCUGGUUGUUGUGGAACGAAGAAGCAGAAGCUGAACAACUCCUCGAGCAUCUCGUGCAAUGGAUCGGCGAUAUUGACGAACGGCACGCAAAUGCGCAACGGCUUGAUCGUCCAACCCGAGAUGGGCUUCUUCUGCUUCGACGUCUUGUACUGCCAACUGCACCAGCUCGACCCUCCAAAAACGCCCAACUUCAGCAACGAUGCAUUUCCACUAUUUGUAACAUGGGAAAUCGGAAAAGACAUGCGACUGCGAGGUUGCAUCGGAACAUUUAAUGCAAUGCAUUUACAUGCAGGUCUUCGUGAAUAUGCAACAACUAGCGCAUUCAAGGACUCGCGUUUUAAUCCUAUAACACGGGAUGAGCUUCCUCGGUUACACGUCAGCGUAUCCAUACUUCGCCACUUUGAAGAUGGAGUAGAUUACUUAGAUUGGGAAAUAGGAGUACAUGGAAUUCGUAUCGAGUUUCAUAAUGAAAAGGGUAACAAACGGACAGCCACGUAUUUACCCGAAGUUGCAACAGAGCAAGGUUGGGACCAGACGCAAACGAUUGAUUCGCUGCUUCGAAAGGGUGGAUACAAGGGGCUAGUUACUCAAGAUAUAAGACGGAGUGUCAAGUUGACAAGAUACCAAAGCGAAAAAAUCACUGUAAGCUAUCAAGAGUACAUGAACAAUUGGCAUACUCGAAGAUGCUAGCAGAUGGCCUGGGGCCCACCUCAAGGGCCCCAACCUCAUCAGUCCACAAAUACUGUUCGAUACAACAACUCCGAACCUAUGAGCAUGUCGUCUCAUUCCCGGUGUAAUGGAGUUGUUGGUAUGCAUCGAAACAGUUCCGUGGCCAGUCAGCAGCACACCUUAGUUAUGGUACAACCAAACCAUCCAUCGUUCAUACAUCUACUUCCUUUACCUUCAAUAUCCCCUGUGAUGGUUCCUGUACAAGACUAUCCACCAUUCUGGUGGGAUCGACCAGGCCCCGCGUUUCCACCUACCCACUCGCACACUCGUCUUCAUCGGUUCCAGACCCAGGAGACAAUGGAGCGUGGGUAUACACAGUCUCCCCCUUAUGAUACCGUAUAGUCCUCCCUAAGGAUGACCAAGUGCAUCCGGAAUGACAACCAUAUUCUUCGGUUUCUUAGAUUUAUCCAGAUUACUGUUUGUGACUAUUUUCAACUUAUAAGUGUAAACACUGGAAAAGUUUUUGCGACUGGAACUCGGCAGAAAGCUCUGCGGUGAUACUGUUUUUACUGUUUGACGUUACGAAAUAACAGGACAGUGAUCACCAAAGUAGUGAGGUUUUAUUUUCUUUUCCUUUUUUAAAAAAAAAAGAUUUUAGUUUUUUAAUUACGUUAUCGAAAUGAAACAGAUUCUUCGUAUUUGCACUUCAUGCUGUGUCACUUAAAUGAUGUGCCGCUAAAUGCAUAUAUUUCUGGUUAAAUGUAGCAAUUAAAAGUUAACACAUGUAUAAAAUGCAGUGCUACUCGAACUUUAAACAUAAUUGUGAUCUUUAGGACAACAUUAAAUGUUGAGCAAUGGUGAAUCUUUUUUCAUUUUAUUUAAAUGAAAAAAAUUGUAAAGUACUCCAAUAUAUUGAAAAUAAUCAAUAGUUUCUGGAUAACCACUCUAAGACUUUAUUUUAACGAUUUAAUCUUCGCUGUUUAAUUAUUUGUAAUUUUGAUAGUAUCGGUGUUAUUAUAGCCAAUAUCUAAUGGUCAACUGUCACUGCUUUUAUGUACUCAAUUUUUGCAUAAAUAAUCUUUUAUUAAGUUAAUAUUACGUUUGAGAUGCAUAGCCGAGUCGUGAAAUGAAACAACUUUUUUCUGAUUGUUUGUAACGGUUUGGUUACUCCUUAAAAAUAAUUUUAAGCAGUGAUAUUGACACAUCAAAAGAAUGCUGGAUUAUAAGACUUUGAAGAGGGAAAGCUAGAAAAUUAUGUAUACGUGGAAGCACCGUUGUUCCCUCGCUUCAACUUCUAAACAAAGUUGUGUUGACGCAUUCUUUAGACUGCGACAUAUUCGUGCGCACUAUUUUUACAUAAGUAUAUGCAAAAAGUCGGGUUACGCAAUUUAUCCACGAUUACAACAUUAAAAGAGUAAUCAUUAUUCAUCGUUUUCAAAUUAAUCUAGCAAAAUAUCGUUGAAUUUUAAUCCAUUGUUGAGUUUUUUUUCCAUAUUCUCGGAAGUUCAGGAGUAACGAUGAUUAUAUCGAUAAUAGCAUCGAAUUUCUUUGUACUAAUGGUAUAAAUAAAAAACAUUUGUUCCGUUUAACCAGAAAUUCUUCUUUGAAACAGCUCGCCAUUUUAUGACGUGUAAUAUAAAAGUUCAAACACUGUGUAGUUAAUGUAAAUACAACGUGUAUAAAUUGUCUAGCGCGUAUCUCUAGUUUAUACCAUUGCUACAUCGAAGUUUUUGUACUUCAGUAAUCAUAGUUGUAUCAUAGUCCUACGUUUUAUUACAAAAAAGGCUUGUAAGAGUUAUGCUAUGCAUACUACGAGGACUUUCAUUUGUAACACUUAGUUUUGCUAUUACGAAAGUAAUACAACAUUAUCCGGAGAGUCCUUUCAUGUUUCGCCCUUACCAGGGCUGUCAUAUUAUCACUUUCGUGGCUGUCGAACGGAUCAGAAAAUGAUCCAAUUAAGACGCUUCCCAGGCAGAAAGAGUGUAAAUGCAACUAAAAAUACUGUACAUAAGCAACUGACUGCAUUGUAACUAAUACUAAUACAUUAAUUAUCAUUAAUUUAGGUUUAAGCUACUAACAAAGAUGACGAUCUCAUUGUGAUUCUGAUCGCUACGCGAUUCGUGAUCGUGUCAUGAAUCAUGUACAAUAUAGCUGCAUCGAAUAUAUAAAGCACACAUCAAUAUCCUAUCGGAGUACAAGGCAUAGCAGUCCCUCCUCUACAUUGCGAGUAGAGGUGUGGGUCGUCAGCGUAUAUUGCAAACAACAAAUCGAAUACACUACGCGCCAUAUGUGAUGACAGACGAGAAUGUUCUGCCGAGAACGUUGAAAGACGGAAUUUAUUCAGAACACAUUCAAUAAAUGUUCCUAAUCAUUUUGGGAAUAUUGCCCUUAAUUGCGACAAACAUUGUGUUACAUUUCAAAUGUGUAAUUGCACGCAUACAUGUCAAUACUGCAGACGCACCACCCCGUUGUGUUGCACAAUGUCUGUGGAUAAAAUUUACCAAGACGAUAAAUAUUUUCAAAUCUUACUACAUUAUCGUACUUAUGUGGGUAUUAAUUCAUUUCCCGACAUUUGCGUGUAGCAGUUUGACAUUUUACAGUAUUCUUAUUGCCAAUAUUUCUGAACAUUAUCGACAUUAUCUGAAUAUUUUACCAAUUCAUUCUCGAUUGUUUUAUAUCACAUGCGCGAUCCAUGACAUCCAACAGAUAACUAUUACUCAAAAUCGUGGUAUUCUAUUUUUUUUUUCAUUUUUCCAUUGAGAAAACAUGGAUCAUAGGUGACCUGACAAAUUAUUUUGUGGAUGUGAGAGUCAUUGUAUCUGGAUGGCGGAAACGAUGUAUCUUUACGGUUCUAAACACGUACGUUAAUACGUGUUAUGAAAUGUUUAAAUGUUGACAAAAACUAUUGUGCAUUAUCGCUUUGCGAGUGACCUUGCUGUGUUUAAUAGGAACAUGUAGGGAACAAUCGCGGUGACAUUCGGUUAACUGUAAAAAAUCUGAAACCAUUUUUCUCUUAAAAAAUAGUUUUACUCCAAUGUUUUUUACCACUGGUUAAAAAAAGGAUAGACAUUAUUGAGAAGGAAUCGAGCUUUAUUAACCUGUGUAUUAAUGACCUUAUGUAUUGGAGGCCAGAACAUAGAAACCGGGCAGCUGAAAUUAGCCGAAAUUUAUUAGGCAAUUAUUUUCCUUACACCUCGUUUUACUGCAAAUAUCGGAUGACUACAGCUGUAUUUUAGCGCACGGAAAAUGCAAGCCAGAGUGACUGUAAUCGUACUUAACACUAUGAAAUCGAGUACCACAAUUCCCUCAAUCUUUCACUUCAAAGAAUACGCCGUUUCUUUUUAUUAUAACGAAUAAUAAACAGGAAAUUAUUUAAUAGUUAAAACGAGUUCAUCAGAGAAGUCAUAAGCGCAGUUAAAUGUAGUCUUCUUUCCGAAUUUCGAUGAGAUGUCCAAUUAAUUGCUUACCUUGUAAGCCAGGAACUGUGGAGAAAUGAAGUUAUGAAACAAGUAUAAAUUUGUACUACACCUGAGCCGUGAAGAAUAGCUAAGCUAAGUGUUGCCAGAGCUUCGGCAUUGAUAUAGAAAGUGACGUCCGCCCCAGUGUUACGGCUUAUAGGCCUAUCAGCUGUUCGGCAACUAACAUUUAUUCGUGACUCAUGGCAGGCUCUGAAUGUUUAGCUAUAGAAACGUGUUAGUCUAUCUUUUCUCAUUGCUGAUAUUUCCCCAUUUUGCCAUCGGUAGGAUUUGCAUAGGGUAGGCAAUUUAGUGAAGUAACUUUGUCAGAGCGAGGGAUUCGGUGCAGUGAGAAAAGCUAGGAUGGUCCACCCAUCGAUACGGUCGACCGUUAGCCGUAAUUAGCGAGGCGUAAUUAUAUAUAUCUCUACGUGAUCAAGCCUUGUUAUUACUGGAGCAAUGUUUUCGGCAGAAUCUCGGCAAGGAAUUUCCGACGUUUUCCUUCGCGUUUUGGUGCCGUUGCUUCUCUUAGGCUCUUCAGCUAACGGCAGCUGAUUCUGCUCACUGCCAAUUUAUCCAUCGUUAGAAUUAUUACGUACUUCAGAGCUUGCUGAGAUUCAAGUUCGUGUUGUUACAAUUUGUUAAUUGAUAUUUAGUACUCAAUGUUAUUACGUAUACUAAUUAAUAUCCUGCGAUUACGUAGUCCGCCCUUGAGGCCUCGUGCUCGAGCCUCCGCACGUUGUCUAAUAACUGCCAGAAAUAUACCUAGCUUUAGAAGUCCAACUGUUUUCAGUGUAAAUUUCAUAGCACACGCUGAACUUGUACCGACUCCUUAUUGAUGAUGUGCGAAAUAUUGUCAUGAGAGGGUCGAGUAUAUGCUAUGGGAUCUGUGCACUUUUUAAGUCUCGGUGAUUUUUCAAAUUCCGAUUUUCCUCGUCGCACUAAAGGACUUAUUACGUGAAUACAUUUCUUCCGUUUAAACUCUGAGUUUGAAAUUACGGUGAACUAUAAAAACGAUAUCAUUUUCACUGAUAGAAGAUAGUCAAUCCAUUAGUGGUGUUGCAACUGUUAUCGCUGUAAAUUGUCAGUGUUUUUAAUUAUAAAUCGAUAUGACUUAAAGGCGCAUUAACAUUGUAACACUAAUGUACUAAUAGGUUGUUGCAAAAGUAUUAUUCGAUUUUUACCUUAGCUCGAGGUCGGGAAAUCGUAUCUUACUAUUGCUACAAUUUGAUAAAAUUGUAAGGAGCGCCUAAGAAGGAAUUGUGACGCCGCAUAUCCGUUCGACUUGCCGUUUCACGAGUCCUUUUUAAGAAGAUUCGCGAAAAGGUAGUUCUGCGUUGAAUUUUGCAACAAAAAUUCUAGUACACUUUCGCUAUAUGAAAGUCAUAUUUACUCGUUCUAUUUGUUGUGCAAAAUAAUACAAGGAAUUACCAUGUUAUCAUUACAUAUAUUGUCUUUUACAUUAAAAGGGCUUUACCGAACGAAGAAAUGACGUACAUUGACACUUGACAUACGCAGGGAUAUCCUAGACAUGAGCGUUCUGCCCAUUGAUGAAUUCCUCUGUAUUAUGUGGUCUUCGAUCACAUUUGUUCAGCAUAAAAGACAUUAAUAUCCAUAAUGGAUUAGAGAAAUAUCGGUGCAUCUUUGAAUGAAAAGAUUCAACUAUAGUGAAAUUUCUGGCGCACAGAAUUUUAUCGAGUCACAAAUCGCUUAGAUAAUUUAGUUCGUUUCAUUGUUAACGUAAAAAUCUUAGUCAUAUCUGCUGAAAAUUGCGAUAUUCGGAAUGCCCAGAGGAAGUAGGAUUUCGUCAUUGGUUUCAAUUUCCGAAUAUCGAACGACGUCUGUGUUGUUUAACCCUUCAAAUGUUGGCUACACGAAAGGAGAUAAAGAAUGGAAACAUUAGACGGUUUAGGCGUUAAAAAUGUAUUUCAUGGUCAGCGCGUUUUGCACAUAAAUGUGUAACGUGUCCUUCCUCGGAAUACUAUUUUGAUACAUUUAAAAAAGUAUUGAAAUAUUUAAUAUUUCGAUUUUUUGGUUCUUUGGAAUAGCUCACACUUAGCUCAAUUUCUUUUAUAAUUAAUUAAAAAAUCGGUUUCAUUGUGCGCUCAAUUGAAGAGCUCCUUCGAGGUCAUGCUUAAUUAAAAGAUACUACUGUAUUUCAUUAAUCAGAACCAGAUUAGCGUGACAUAAAUUUUAUGACUGGUACUUUACAUAUAUACUGUAUUCCGAAAAUCUUAUAUACUGAAUCGAUAUCACCGAUCUCGUUACGAAUAACCGUAUGCAAAUUGGUGGUCGGGUUAAGUUAAAGAACACUAAAACGUGAUAAAUUAUACCAUCCGCAAAUUUUCAACAGCAUUAACAGCUUCACGAUAUACACGUAUAAAGAAGAAAAUUAUGGAAAUUGAACUAGAAAAGUUUACUGAAAUAACAAAUCAUAUUGUGCCUAGAUGCGUGGUUUACAUUUGAUUAUAAAUUGAUUGUAAGGAGAACUCGUUGAUACCCGUAGUGAGUAGAAGGAAAUGAAAAGUCGCAAAUUUUGGCAAAUUAAAUAAAUAUCAAUUAGUACUACCAGCUUACAACAGUGGGGUGAAGGAAUAAAAUGAAUUUUAUAUUACCACAUAGCGUAUCUUAUUGAGACCAUAUUCAUAAUUCCGUACUUCAUAUACUCUCAAUUUUUAUCGGUUUUUGAAUUUUUGUUCCGUUGAUCAUGACAUACCAUUUCAUAUAAGUUCACUCAGUACUUUUUAUUUCUUAUUUGACAGCUAUUUAAAAUGUUGCUCAUAGUUGAUAUAUUUCAUAAUUUUUAUAUACUGAGGGAUGUUUUAUUCUUUAAGCACUAUAAUAAACUAUUAUUGACA
rnacentral:misc_RNA from 1 species